CCCUUAGAUGUCCUGGGCUGCACGCGCGCUUCACUGGAAGUUACGGAUUGAGAUACUACCUUGUCCGAAAUGGUCCGGGUAAUCACCUAAAAGCUUGUCAUAAUUGGAAUGGAUUAUUGUAACUAGUAAUCCUGAACGAGGAAUUCCUAGUAAGUCCCAGUCAACAGCUGGUACUGAUUACGUCCCUGCCCUUUGUACACACCGCCCGUCGCUACUACUGAUUGGACGUUUAAGCAAGAUUUUUAAACACUGACAGUGUGUAGUUCACGCUAUACUACAGUGAGAAGAAGAAGAUCGAGCUUACUUGUCUAGAGGAAGUAAAAGUCGUAACA
rnacentral:rRNA from 1 species